AUAUGGCAAAGGGUAUUUUAGCAUUGCAUUAUUUUUUUAAGAUUAUUUUUAAUUUAGAAUGUGAGCAAUUUGAGGUGUCUUAUCUGGACUCGUUCGACAGUUUCACCAUAGUUGAUGAAAAUCAGCUGAAUUGUCUUUUUUCCUGGUAAUCGAUGAUAAUAAACCACAACUAACAAGCACA